rnacentral:rRNA from 1 species
CUACGGAGGAUCCGAGCGUUAUCCGGAUUUAUUGGGUUUAAAGGGUGCGCAGGCGGCCAUUUAAGUCAGCGGUUAAAUCGUGGGGCUCAACCCCAUUCUGCCGUUGAUACUGGGUGGCUUGAUUGCGGUCGAGGUUGGCGGAAUUCGUUGUGUAGCGGUGAAAUGCAUAGAUAUGACGAAGAACACCGAUUGCGUAGGCAGCUGACCAGACCGCAAAUGACGCUCAUGCACGAAAGGGCGGGGAUCGAACAGGAUUAGAUACCCUGGUAGUCCGCACAGUAAACGAUGAAUACUUGUUUUCGGCGAUAUAAUGUCGGAGGCAAAGCGAAAGCGAUAAGUAUUCCACCUGGGGAGUACGCCGGCAACGGUGAAACUAAAAGGAAUUGACGGGG